CAGUCGCCGCGGGAAUACGAAGGGUGCAAGCGUUACUCGGAAUUACUGGGCGUAAAGCGUGCGUAGGUGGUGGUUUAAGUCCGUUGUGAAAGCCCUGGGCUCAGCCUGGGAAUUGCAGUGGAUACUGGGUCACUAGAGUGUGGUAGAGGGUAGUGGAAUUUCCGGUGUAGCAGUGAGAUGCGUAGAGAUCGGAAGGAACAUCUGUGGCGAAGGCGACUAUCUGGGCCAACACUGACACUGAGGCACUAAAGCGUGGGGAGCAAACAGGAUUAGAUACCCCUGUAGUCCCUGUCUCUUAUAU
rnacentral:rRNA from 1 species